rnacentral:rRNA from 1 species
ACUUGUUCUUUAAAUGGGGACUUGUAUGAAUGGCAUCACGAGGGUUAUACUGUCUCCUUUUUCCAAUCAGUGAAUCUAAUCUCCCCGUGAAGAAACGGGGAUACAACUAUAAGACGAGAAGACCCUAUGGAGCUUUAAAUACCUCUUCAAACGUUGGACCUUUCCCCUCAGUUUUUAACUCACUUAUAUUAACCCUGAACGCCAUGAAGACAACUUUUAGGUUGGGGUGACCGCGGAGAACAACAAAACCUCCACGCUGAAUCAGACUUUCUAAGCCUGAACUAAGAGCCACCGCUCAAUGCACUAAAAAAUUAACAUCUAUUGACCCAAUACAUCACUUGAUCAACGAACCAAGUUACCCUAGGGAUAACAGCGCAAUCCAUUUCAAGAGUCCAUAUCGACAAGUGG